rnacentral:misc_RNA from 1 species
AGGCUGAAAUGGAUGCAAAGUCUGUUUCUAACAAUGCUGUCCCCUGGGCUGCAAGAUCACGUCUUCCAGAAGUUUCACAUGGUGGGAACAGACAUUCUGCUGCAUCUUCUGAGGCGGCAAUGAAGAUUUCAGCUGCACAACUUACAGCUUCAAAAAAUGGUCCAGUCAAGCCUGUACAGGGGGAGACUAUGGGAAAGUCUGCAUCUGCCUCUCCAGGGUCCAGGAAAUCGGUACCAUCUUCUGCAUCAGUGGAUAAUAGCUUAAAAGAAGGACAGGUCUGUAAUAUUGGGGUUAUUGGUGCAUCUGAACUUAUCGUAGCUGUGAGGGAGGAGAAAAGCAGCAGUU